GCCUAGCCCGUAUGGUGGAUAUGACCCUCGGCUUGUAACUGAGGGGAUUCGGGUUCAAAUCCCGAGCAAGGCA